GGAGAGUGAGAUAGAGAUGGCAAAUCAGUUAAUUGUACUUGGGAAUUUAGAUGGUGAGGCAGUAUUGCUUGAAAGUGCACAGAGUUUAAAUGUGUAGUAAAUAGUAAAUAAAUUCUCAAGAGGUGUGAUUAAGAGUGCGAGAGAGUGUCUGGAAAGAUUGGACAAUUUUAGAUUAGUCAUGAAUGCAUUCAAGGAUCACGUAUAAAAACCAUUGAGAAUCGUGCCAAAAGUGUCACAACUCAUUCAAGUUUCCGCGGAGAUUCGUGUUUGAGUGGUCCCUUCAUUGCCCUUUUCUUUGGGAUACCCUGGUCAAUCGGAUUUGUUUUCUCCAGUUCCCAAGUGCUUCAUACAUUUACCCAUUGCCUGGCUUCCCUGUGAUUGCUCAAGUGGGGCCUUUUGCCAGGGAAUUCGCGAGAAAAACGCAAUUGCAAAAAAAAGGAUAAAAGCAAUUGACAGGAAGUGUCAAAAGUUGUCAGUCCAGAGAGGAGUUUGUCUCCUGGAUUUUGUGCUUGAAAAACAAGGGAAUACAGUGCUUGAAUUUUUUGUUUUUUGGUUUUCCUGGAGGGAUAAUAUUCCCAUCUUUAUUUUUGUUGUGCCAUUUGCUGUUAAAAGCUUGCUCUGAUUCUGUGCGGAAGUUAUUUCGUAAUCAACUCCCGAGAUAAAUCAGUACCAAGAGCGAGAAAGACCAGAAAUUCCAUCGACUCUGAGAGUGUGUCACUUUUUGAGGUAGAAUUCUCGCAUAAGAAGUUUUUCGCAGUAUUUUUCUGGUCAGUGCCUCCCGCCGAGAGAAGCCACAGCUGCAGGAACAUCAACACGGAUUGGUACUCUCUCAGUGGAAUUGUGAAGAAGUAGACACACAAAUCACUGAGAAAGGCAUCCGGAAGAUAGGGCAAAUGGCUGUAUGAGCAGCAAGGCCAGAAAAACCAGAGGAAGUCACAAGGAAUUGACGGUCAAUUGUCUGUCGCACCCGGAAAGGAACCCCCAAAAACAUUUGGAGUCACGCAGCCAAAAAAAAAUUAGAAUUUCCCAAUAUGACUCUGAAGAAUUAAAUCGUUGAACUCUCUUGACUUCGAUGGAGAAACAAUGCAUCAGACGAUUGAUGGACAAUGAUAAGUGAGAAUAUCAAAAAAUGGUUGUCUAUCAGCAGUACCGGACAGUGAGGUUUGGUCUGGUGUUGGGAAUUGUGGUACUCACUGUCUUUCUCUACAUUUCCUACUACACAAAUCCCAUUGAGCCUCUGUAUACCAAGCAACAGCACCAUUUGGCCCCAUCGGCCGUUGAGUCGCUGCCCCUAAAUGCUGCAGCCCUUGUAAGCGGCGGUGCCUAUGACAAUUUCACCAGUAAUGCUGGAAAUCGGAGUGCUGAAAAAUUUUCUGUGAUUUCCACACGGAAUGAGAGUAAAGUGGACGAAAGACCUCCUCCUUCGGGUGAUGAUGCAAUUGAAAACUCGGCGGGGAGACAAUCCGGGGUGGAUCAGGUGAUUCCUGUAGUGGUGCAUCAGCCAUCAUCAUCAUCAUCGUACUAUGCACCACUGGUAGCGACUGGUAGCCAAAAUAGUUUUAAGGAGAGUGAGAAUGAAGUACGAAUACCGUCAGCAGGGUCACUGCAAGGGUCAGUGGUAAGGUUGACGGCUCAGGGAGCAUCAGCUGUAGAAAAUACACCGCCAAAGACUUCCGCCUCCAGUGCUAAUGAAGUAAAAUUAAAUGCAACAACAGUCCGAGGUCACCUGGAUCCGGCUCAAGGUAUCCGAACGAGUGAACUCUAUGAGAGUGGUCAUUCGGAACCAAAUGCAGAAUUGUGUCCGGCCAUGGGUGAAAAUGUGCGUCUGUUGGUUCUUGUGACAUCAGCGCCCACGCACUAUGACGCUCGCAUGGCCAUUAGGCAUACAUGGGGUCACUAUGGGAUGAGGAGGGAUACUGUUGUGGCAUUUUUCCUUGGUGCCACGGGUGAUCAGGGCACGGAGGAACAAAUGUUGGGUGAAAAUACUCUGUUUGGUGACUUGAUACAGGGUCGCUUUGUGGACAGCUACAAUAAUCUAACACUGAAGACAAUUUCAAUUUUGGAAUGGGUUGAUACGUACUGCCCACAGGCGUCCUUUGUCCUCAAGACUGACGAUGAUAUGUUCAUCAAUGUGCCGAAAUUGAUGCAAUUUAUGGAUAAGCAUAGUCACGACAAAAGACAUAUCUAUGGGCGAUUGGCAAAGAAAUGGAAGCCAAUUAGGAAUAAAAAGAGCAAAUACUACGUUUCACCCAAUCAAUAUUUGCCAAAGUAUUUCCCGGAUUUCACCACGGGACCUGCCUAUCUCAUGACAUCUGAUGUCAUUCAUGAUUUAUAUGAAAAAUCCCUGGAACAGACGUAUCUCAAGUUGGAGGAUGUCUAUACGACGGGAAUUGUGGCGCAAUUGGUGAAGGUGAAACGGAUCCAUGUGACAGAAUUUCUCAAUCGACGGAUUGCCUUCAAUGCGUGCAACAUCAAGAAGGCCAUCAGUGUGCACAUGGUAAAGGGGCAGGAGCAGUAUGAUUUGUGGAAGAAAUUGAUGGAUACCAAUCUAAAAUGCAAAUAGCAUCAGGAUCAGCAGCAGGUGCAUCUGAGGCUGGAGAUCCACAAGACAACGUCCAAGAUUAUUUAAAAAAAUAAAUAAAUAAUAAUAAUUUUCAAGACAAUGUUAUGGUAGGAUUGUAUGAGUAAGAAAUGAAAUUGAAGUGAAAUAUAAUUGAUAGAGAAUUAUUGUAUAAUAGUUCUUAAGUAGCAGCUUGAAAAUCUACAUACCCUGUUCUUAAAGUACUAUAAAUAGCAAUUUUCCCUGUAGAAAAAAAAGAAGAAAUUGUGUUGCUUCGAAUUUUUAAAAAAGAAAUCUCAAGAGGAAAAUGCUGAAUUUUAGCAGAAAUUGAAUUUUGUAAAGUUGAACUUUUGGUUAAAUUUAAUCAAAAGUGUGAAAAAAUAUUAAGGAAAACAGUAUUUCAAUUUAAGAAUAUUUUUUACAGUUCCAUGCAUGAGACAUUUUAGCAAUUAUCUUGAUUUAUUUUAUUGAAAAAAAAAACUUUAAAAAAUUAAUUGAGAGAAAUUUCGAGAAAAUAUAAGACUAAAAUCACAGUGAACCUUUCGAAGUUAAGAAGAAAUAUAUAGAGAAUUUUUCGAACUCAGAAACAUAAAUUCCCGUAUCAGCCGCUUGAGCGCUGCUAUCACUUCCCUUUUCGAAAAUUAAGCAUUCUAGGACAAACCUGCAACUUCCUUUAUAAACGCUACAUAUUGGGAGAUAUUUUUGUCAAAUUGGGGCGUUUUGAAGUCAAUUAUUUGCUUGUGAAUCGGAAUUGGAUUCUCCAAAAGUGUGUAGGCUAAAAGGUAAAUGGCACUUGCACUCGAUUAAAUUUUAAAUUUUCAAAUUAAAUUUUCGCGUAAGAUUGUAGAAAUGUGUAGAGUCACACUGGAUGCCAGUGUGGGGAAUUCGAGAGGGACAGAAAUCAUUCGAAAUCGAGCCAAUUCGAAAUUCAAACAGAAAAUGUCAUGAUCCAAUGAGCACAGUUAGCUAAAAAGGCAGCGUUUUCAGUAUAUUCUUGCUGAAAAUGCUGCUUUUUUGGAUAACUGCGGUCGCUAGGAUGGGACAGAAAUCAUUCGGAAUCGAGCCAAUUCGAAAUUCGAACAGAAAAUGUCAUUAUCCAACGAGCACAGUUAGCUAAAAAGACAGCGUUUUCAGCAUAGUUUUGCUGAAUCGAUCAGUAAAAAUGUGCCGACCGGUCAGCAGUUCUCGAACAAAAGGUACUAACUAAGUAAUAUGGAAAUGACACUGGCUCGGGAGUGUUGUUUUAAGGUUAGCAGAAUUUAGCUGAAAAUAUAUAUGUUUUUUUCAAUAUUAAUAAUAAAAUAAUAAAAAUGGCGCAAGGUUCCACAGAGGAACCUAGGUCUUCCCGCAAGGGGAGUUCGGAAAAUCCAUUAUUAUUUUUUCUUGUACGGGAUGAGAUUGUCAGUCCCAUGUCCCAUGGAAUCAAGUACAGUGAAGCUCUGGAUGCAAUCCGAACACCUUGAACGCCAGAAAAAUUCCUGGUGACCUAAAGGGGAUUCGAACCCGAGACACUUGCAUCACAGAGCGAGUGUUCUACCGGUUCUACCACUUGACCUACUGAGUUCCAACACUGAGAAUGCGAUAUGACAAAUUUCGUUCGAAUCUCAAGAGAGCUUUUUCGAAUAUGUGAUUCGGUAGCCAUGACAUUGUCACUUGAGCUCACGUGGCAUUGACAGCUGAUUUGAAAUCGGUUAGCAUUUGGUGUCUUAAAUGUCUUAUAUUGAUUUUCGUAACCGAUUUACGAAUAUUUGAAUUCGUUUUUUGUUUUUCCGCCCCCAAGGAUUUUUUGAAAAAAAUAUCAUCUCAUUUUCAAGUUAAAGCACAACUACUUACCUUUCUAACGGAUGCCCAUUUAUUAUGUUCUGUACACUAGAACCGGAGGAAUAAUUGAUAAUAUGUGACAAAACAGCAAAAACAAAUAAAAAUUAAUUAAAGAAAAUUGUGACGUAUAGGAGAAAAACCAAGAGCAGAUUCUUGGUCAGGGGACUCGACUAAAAAAAAUCGUGUUGCAUAGUGUUAUCCUAAUCUUUGUUUGGUUUAAUGGAAAACCAUAAAAAUUCGAUUGACAUUCAACUGAAAAACCUCUCCGUAUAGCCAACGGCCGCGGCGAUUCCAUUAGAUUUCCAGCAGCCUUUUCUGCCAUGUCCGUGAAUUUUAUCGCUAAAAAUCCGCGUGAUAUUCCCUGGAUUUUACAGCUCAAAAUCCGCGUAAGUUUCCGAGAUGGAAUUUGGCGCUAAAUUUCUUCCUAGCGUUCCAUGGACGUUUGCGAAACUCUGUAUAGGACCGUCUAAUAAGAAAUGUCCGUGAGUAUCCAUGGACUUUUCUCUGACGAAUAUUUCCACGGCUUUUCCUAUGGAUUAGUAGCGGUAUAAUCGGCAGUCAGCCCUUUAAAAAUUUGGAAAAAUCCUCUUUUUUUCCACGAAAUUCUCCGUGGAAAUUUUCAUACAACGGCCUUAGAGGCUUCCGUGGUUUAAUAUUACGGAAUUCCACGAUUUUUCCAGUGGAUUUUUUAGAUAUAUUUUUCUUCAAAAUAAUUCCAAAAAUUGAUUAAAAUUUCGUGGAACUUUUCAUAGAGAAUUUCCAGAAAAAAAAACAUCUACAAAUAUGGAGGAUCAGUGCCAAUUGGCAGCUUAGAACUUGGAGAGUGUUCAUCUAUCAGACGAACACUCAAUUGUUCUACUUUUGAAUUGAAUAUAUUGCUAUCAUAUCGUUCAUUUGAGUAUGUCUAGCUCGCAAGAAUUACAGUGUUAAGGCGAAAAAUAAUUGCAGAAUUUUUGCGCUUACUUCCAUGGAGUCUUGGUCGGAAAGAUAUCAGAAAAUUACUCGGAAUAUUCAAAGGAAAUUUUGAAUCAAUUUCCAGGGAAUGCUCUCAGAUAUGUUGCAAGAAAAUUCCUCGGACUUUUUUUCUAGGAAAUCCACGCGAAAAAUAGCUGAUAACUCCGCAGAAUUCCAAGCGGAAUAUUAGCGUAUAUUUCCACGGAAACUCUCGCGGAAAAAUAGAAGAUAAAUUCUAGGGAAUUUUCUGUUACUGUGAAACUUUGCGGGCGAUCGGCUACAGGGACAGGAAGGAAUAAUAGCUAACCCAGUGAUUCAAAUUCUGAAUUUACCAGUAUCAACUAAAACACCAAAGAGGAAUUUCUAAUUUAUUGUUUCCUACCUAAUUGACUGUAAAUAAACAUAAACGCAAAAUAGGCAAUAAGGGAAGUGCUUAAGUACCAGUGUCUGAAGUUUAAGUUUUAAAAUGAAUUAAAACAUGAAUUUUAGUGUAAUUUUGGACACUUUGCUUGUAAUUUUGGACACCUAAUACACUUCACAAGAAUGCCCACUGUCAUUCAUUUCAAGAACCUAACUUACAAAAAUCAUCUUUUUAUGAGAAGGAACUGUAGGAUAUCUCAAAGAGCCCGCAAACUUUAAUUUAGAUUUUAAUCAAUUUACAGUACACUCUCGCUCAAUCGGCUCUUUUUCAAUCGGGCGCAAAAUUUUGUUGACAAUUUUCACAUUUGAUUUUAAAGCAAACUUGUUCAAAUUCGCUGUAGUUCCUCAUGUUUUGUCAUGAUUCUCUAUAUUUGAGCGCUUUUUGUGGAAUUUUCAAUGAUUUUGAUGCUCAAAUCUCGAUAAUUUGGAUGACAUUUUACCCCAAAUGCCCAAUUGAGAGAGAGUCUACUGUAUUUGUAAUGUCCAAAAUUACAAGCAAUGCCGCUAACCUUUUCAAAGUAUAGAAAAUUCGAAGAAUUAGCAGUAAUAGUGCUUUAGCGCUCAAGCGGAGAAUACGUAAACUUGUACGUUGAUCUUUCGGGAGCUUUUCGAAUUUUGAAUUGUUUUGUAUUUUCGAACUUUAAGCUUACAACACAGUAAAAAAAAUUUACAAGAAUAAUCGUUGAUUUGCUUUUUUACCACGAUUAUUCUUGGAAAGUUACACAAAUUAUAUAUUUCAACAAAACGUGUAAUCUGAAAAUGUGUAAUUUAAAUUUUAUGUAAUUGUAAACCGCGUAAUCAACUGUGAAUGAUUACACAAUUUUUUAUAUUUUCUUACAUAUUUCGUGUAAAAUUACACAGUUUUCAAAUAAAUGGUGUACAAAUUACACAGUUUUCAGACAAAAUGUGUACAAAUUACACAAAUGUGUUUUAGUACACACGAUUACAUGUUUAAUGUAAAAUUUACAAUGAAAAUCAUGGUAAAGCAGUCAAAAUUUUUUUACUGUGUAUUUUUAAAUAAUAUUUUUGAAUUAUCAAAAUAGAAAACAAAUUCUUUAGAACGACCAUUGCGAUCCAAUUUGUAUGUUAUUUAUGCACAAUUCAACGAUAACAAAAAUUUAUUCUAAAAAAAAAGUAAACCACUUAAGUUUGCUCUAUUUGAAAAGAAAAAUAGGGCUUACAGAUAAAAUUAUAAUAAUGCGAUAAUGAAUAUUGCAUGGAACUGCAUUCAGUGCGCUUUUCCAGUGUGUCUUUGACAGAAAAUUUUGAAGAGAAAAAAAAUGCAAUAAAAUAAAAUUCAGCACUUUCUUUGUCAAAAUACAGACACUGUCUCUCAAUUUUUCUUCAACUUUUGCUUCAAUCUGUUGAAUUAAUUUUUUAUUUGGAAAAUCUUGUGUAUUUAUGUUAAUCUCUGUAGCGGGUACUAUCAAUACACAAAUAUACACACAGACAGAAAAAAAAACAUUAGGAUUUUUCUUCAAUUAGGCUGUGAUCAUAUUCGAAGAGAAUUUUGUUCAUUGAAAAAAAAAAGUUUAAGAGAAAAACAAAAAGAGGAGAGGAAGCUUGUCUCUCACAGAGAUCUUGUGAGAGAAAAAGAAGAAAAAGCUUACCAAAAAAAAUAUUUGGAAGUUAUUUUUCUUUUAAGGUGUCUACACAUUGAGAACAAUUUUCGUCAAAAAGUGCUUUUUUGAAGGAAAUUGGCUGCAGUGCUGUAGGCAGAAACGUCAAAAUUCUGUCAAAAAUGCAAUUUUUGACAAAAAUUGCUUUUUUGAAGGAAAUUCCCUGCAGCGUUGUAGGGCGAAACGUCAAAUUUCUGUCAAAAACGCAAUUUUUGACGAAAAUUGCUCUCAAUGUGUAGAGGCCUUUAGAGAAAAUUUUGUUUGUUCAAAUGCGAGUGUCUCUGGUUGAGAGAGGCAUUGAAACUAUAAAAAACAAUAAAUAAAAGAUGAAUUAAAGAAGAUUAGGAAAUGAAUGACGAAAGUGUGAAAAUGAUUCUCUUUUGACGACGACGGCUAUACUCUCCCAAAAAAAGGUAUCCUCAAUUUGUAAAAUUGUAACGUUGUAAAUAGGCAUGUAAGUUGACACGCGAUGCUGUGUAAAAGGAAAUAAAAGAAAAAAACAGAUUCCCUACAA